AAGCCGGAUGGAGCAGGAAAGCGUCAGGAUGAUGCAGCUUCAGGAAGAAGAAAGGGAUGCACUCAGGAAGAGUGGAAAGGAUUGGUAUCAGGAUGAUACACAGGAUGUUUCAGGAUUGAAACCAAGGACACCUCCAGGACGGAGAUAGAGAGCCAACACAGGAUUGUUGGUGGGUCAGGAAGGCCGAGGAACCGCGUCAGGACGAUGCUAUAGGAUUUUGCGAAGGAUUGUUUUGGUCAGGAUGGCCGAAAGGAAAAGUUUUCAGGGAUUGAGCAGGGAGCACACUUGUAGCGGGAUUAGCUAUAAAACGAACCGGGGGCACUGUUAACGCAGUGCCCCCAACUUUUUGU
rfam:Serratia fonticola strain DSM 4576, complete genome.